rnacentral:rRNA from 1 species
AUUGAACGCUGGCGGCAGGCCUAACACAUGCAAGUCGAGCGGAUGAAGGGAGCUUGCUCCUGGAUUCAGCGGCGGACGGGUGAGUAAUGCCUAGGAAUCUGCCUGGUAGUGGGGGAUAACGUCCGGAAACGGGCGCUAAUACCGCAUACGUCCUGAGGGAGAAAGUGGGGGAUCUUCGGACCUCACGCUAUCAGAUGAGCCUAGGUCGGAUUAGCUAGUUGGUGGGGUAAAGGCCUACCAGGGCGACGAUCCGUAACUGGUCUGAGAGGAUGAUCAGUCACACUGGAACUGAGACACGGUCCAGACUCCUACGGGAGGCAGCAGUGGGGAAUAUUGAACAAUGGGCGAAAGCCUGAUCCAGCCAUGCCGCGUGUGUGAAGAAGGUCUUCGGAUUGUAAAGCACUUUAAGUUGGGAGGAAGGGCAGUAAGUUAAUACCUUGCUGUUUUGACGUUACCAACAGAAUAAGCACCGGCUAACUUCGUG